GACGAGGGAUCCUAGCGUUGCUCGGAAUCAUUGGGCGUAAAGCGAAUGUAGGCGGCUUUGUAAGUCAGUUGUGAAAUCCCCGGGCUCAACUCGGGAACUGCUUCUGAUACUGCAAAGCUAGAGUAUGGGAGAGGGUAGUAGAAUUCCUGGUGUAGUGGUGAAAUACGUAGAUAUCAGGAGGAAUACCGGUGGCGAAGGCGGCUACCUGGACCAAUACUGACGCUGAGAUUCGAAAGCGUGGGGAUCAAACAGG
rnacentral:rRNA from 1 species